rnacentral:tRNA from 1 species
UAAAAAUCCCCAAAAACA